rnacentral:rRNA from 1 species
ACGAACGCUAGCGGCGUGCCUAAUGUAUGCAAGUCGAGCGGGGUCCAGGCUUCGGCUGAAGACCUAGCGGCGAACGGUUGAGUAACACGUAGGCAACCUGCCCCAGAGUGGGGGAUAACUCGCGGAAACGCGGGCUAAUACCGCAUACGGUCCGGGAGCGCCUGUUCCCGGCACCAAAGGAGCAAUUCGCUCUGGGAGGGGCCUGCGGCCUAUCAGCUUGUUGGGGAGGUAACGGCUCACCAAGGCGACGACGGGUAGCUGGUCUGAGAGGAUGGUCAGCCAGACAGGGACUGAGACACGGCCCUGACUCCUUCGGGGGGCAGCAAUGAGGGAUAUUGCACAAUGGGCGCAAGCCUGAUGCAGCGACGCCGCGUGGGCGAUGAAGUCCUUCGGGAUGUAAAGCCCUUUUCUCGGAGACGAUCAGGACGGUACCCGAGGAAUAAGCCCCGGCUAACUACGU